rnacentral:lncRNA from 1 species
UAAGUCUACUAGUUCUUUUGGGGCCGCGAGGUUCAUUAUCCACUUGAAACAUUGGGCAUCAGUUCUCUGGAAAGGAACUGCGUUACGAUAACUGGCAAGCGAAUACCCAGCAUGCCUGCCAUAUGAAACCUCAAAAAUUGACCGUCUCAUGACAGGAGGACCUGUGGCAACUCGGCCUCUGCUCCUUCAUGCUGGCGAGGCGACGAUGUCGGUGCCGUUUACUGUAGAGCAGGCACAAGAGCUGCAGGCAAGUCGCAUAUUGAUGUCCAACCUUCAAAAAAUUUUGCCUAUCGCAUGGCGUCUGGGAAACAUCGGCACCCACUUUCCGCGGGGCGGAACUUUACCGACGCGACUAUGAUGGUGCGCACAGCACUUUGGUCGAUCUACAAGAUGAGGCACAAAUUUUUAAUUUCAUCGAUUUCUGAGUACGUAAAAGGUUUCCGAAUAAGGGUUCUGCGUUCGGGAUCACGCGUCCGUACGACCACGGUCGUUUAGAGGACGCUGCGGUCGUACGGACAGGUGAUCCGCAACGCAAAACCCCUUAGUACCUUCUCCCUUACCCAACCCGAUUCAAUCUGACCGCAAGCAUUCCGCAAAAAAUAUAUCCGGCCGCAAAACCGACAGGGGACCUUCCAAAAGCUUUUUCAGAUUUUUGCCGAGAAGCAAAAGGCGCAGCGGCCCAAGCGCUGGGACAUGAUGGAGUGGCGCCAUGCGGAUCAAGAAGUGGGCAUGGAGGUGCGAACUUGUGAGGAUUUAUGCUCUGGCGUGCGUGCGUUGUCCUCUUUCGUUUUUGACCGUACCACACCAUGUGCGGAAGGUGAAGUAGUAUCGUACUGCCGUAGUACCGUUGCCGUGCAGAAUCCUAACGGCAUCUAGUCUAACCCCUCCUGUUUUCUAACCACCGUAUUCGGCCCCUCCUCCCACCUCUCAAUUUCCACCACCACCCCCGUUGGCGCCACAUGCCGCCC